UGCGUAGAUGGUUUCUUAAGUCAGAGGUGAAAGGCUACGGCUCAACCGUAGUAAGCCUUUGAAACUGGGAAACUUGAGUGCAGGAGAGGAGAGUGGAAUUCCUAGUGUAGCGGUGAAUGCGUAGAUAUUAGGAGGAACACCAGUUGCGAAGGCGGCUCUCUGGACUGUAACUGACACUGAGGCACGAAAGCGUGGGGAGCAAACA
rnacentral:rRNA from 1 species